rnacentral:rRNA from 1 species
GUGGGGAAUAUUGGACAAUGGGCGCAAGCCUGAUCCAGCCAUGCCGCGUGUGUGAAGAAGGCCUUCGGGUUGUAAAGCACUUUUGUCCGGGAAGAAAUCUUCCAGGUUAAUACCCUGGGAGGCUGACGGUACCGGAAGAAUAAGCACCGGCUAACUUCGUGCCAGCAGCCGCGGUAAUACGAAGGGUGCAAGCGUUACUCGGACUUACUGGGCGUAAAGCGUGCGUAGGUGGUUCGUUAAGUCUGCCGUGAAAGCCCCGGGCUCAACCUGGGGAUGGCGGUGGAUACUGGCGGGCUAGAGUGCGGUAGAGGGUGGUGGAAUUCCCGGUGUAGCAGUGAAAUGCGUAGAGAUCGGGAGGAACAUCUGUGGCGAAGGCGGCCACCUGGACCAGCACUGACACUGAGGCACGAAAGCGUGGGGAGCAAACAGGAUUAGAAACCCCUGUAGUCC